ACCUCAGUGGUGUAGUAGCAGAGCGCGUCUCCCUGGAGAGGAUAAAACGCGUGUUCGAUUCCCGCUUGAGGCC